rnacentral:tRNA from 3 species
GCCCCGGUAGCUCAACCGGACAGAGCAGCGGCCUUCUAAGCCGCCGGUUGCAGGUUCGAGUCCUGCCCGGGGCGCCG